rnacentral:rRNA from 1 species
UAAUACGAAGGGGGCUAGCGUUGCUCGGAAUGACUGGGCGUAAAGGGCGCGUAGGCGGCUUGGUCAGUCAGGCGUGAAAUUCCCGGGCUCAACCUGGGGACUGCGCUUGAUACGGCUGGGCUUGAGGACGGAGGAGGGUCGUGGAAUUCCCAGUGUAGAGGUGAAAUUCGUAUAUAUUGGGAAGAACACCGGUGGCGAAGGCGGCGACCUGGUCCGUUACUGACGCUGAGGCGCGACGGCGUGGGGAGCAAACAGGA